rnacentral:rRNA from 1 species
UACGAAGGGGGUUAGCGUUGUUCGGAAUUACUGGGCGUAAAGCGCACGUAGGCGGACAUUUAAGUCAGGGGUGAAAUCCCAGAGCUCAACUCUGGAACUGCCUUUGAUACUGGGUGUCUUGAGUAUGGAAGAGGUGAGUGGAAUUCCGAGUGUAGAGGUGAAAUUCGUAGAUAUUAGGAAGAACACCAGUGGCGAAGGCGGCUCACUGGCCCGGUACUGACGCUGAGGCGCGAAAGCGUGGGGAGCAAACAGG